ACGAACGCUGGCGGCGUGCUUCACACAUGCCAGUCGCACGGAAAGGCCCUGCUUGCAGGGUACUCGAGUGGCGAACGGGUGAGUAACACGUGGGUGAUCUGCCCUGCACUUCGGGAUAAGCCUGGGAAACUGGGUCUAAUACCGGAUAGGAGCCAUUUUUAGUGUGAUGGUUGGAAAGUUUUUUCGGUGUAGGAUGAGCUCGCGGCCUAUCAGCUUGUUGGUGGGGUAAUGGCCUACCAAGGCGGCGACGGGUAGCCGGCCUGAGGGGGUGGACGGCCACAUUGGGACUGAGAUACGGCCCAGACUCCUACGGGAGGCAGCAGUGGGGAAUAUUGCACAAUGGGCGCAAGCCUGAUGCAGCGACGCCGCGUGGGGGAUGACGGCCUUCGGGUUGUAAACUCCUUUCGCUAGGGACGAAGCUUUUUGUGACGGUACCUAGAUAAGAAGCACCGGCUAACUACGUG
rnacentral:rRNA from 1 species